AGAGUUUGAUCAUGGCUCAGAACGAACGCUGGCGGCAGGCUUAACACAUGCAAGUUGAGCGGGAUUGUUGGUAGCUUGCUAUCAAGCAUGAGAGCAGCGCACUGGUGAGUAACACGUGGGAACAUACCUUUUGGUGGGGGACAACAGUUGGAAACGACUGCUAAUACCGCAUAAGCCCUAAGGGGGAAAGAUUAAUUGCCGAAAGAUUGGCCCGCGGAAGAUUAGGUAGUAGGUGGGGUAACGGCCUACCUAGCCGACGAUCUAUAGCUGGUCUGAGAGGACGAUCAGCCACAUUGGAACUGAGACACGGUCCAGACUCCUACGGGAGGCAGCAGUGAGGAAUAUUGGGCAAUGGAGGCAACUCCGAACCCCCAGCCAUGCCGCGUGAGUGAAGAAGGUUUUCGGAUUGUAAAGCUCUUUCAGACGGGAAGAUGAUGACGGUACCGUCAGAAGAAGCACCGGCUAACUUCGUGCCAGCCGCGGC
rnacentral:rRNA from 1 species